UAUGCGUUUUUGGGUCGGUAGGCGAGGUGGUACUAUGUUUUUCUUGAUCCAAUAGGUCGGUGGAACAUCCCGUGCGAAGAGAGUCCUCAAUGCAAUCCAGCAGGGGGCGGGCGCCCAGGUCACCAGGGCGGGCGCCCUGGGCCUGGCCCCUUUCGGCCUCUGUUUUCUUCCCGUGGCUUCUAGAGUCUUCUAGAUGGUAGAAAAUCGCGCGGUGCGUUGAUAUCUCUAUGUAAUCCCGACAUGUGGGCCUUCCUUCCUUAUUUCCUGAUAACCCCUGCAGAAACAGACAAACAACAAAACUCGUGGAAUUCUGUCAGAUCAAACCCUAAUUCUAGGUGUUGGUUGCAUAUUGGUCCUUUCUCUUAUUUAUUUGAUAAUUAAAAUUGAUACUUAAGAACCGUCAACACCCCCUCCCCAUUUUCUUCUCUCUGCUCCUCUCGGCUUGCGCAGAAACCGUCGUAGAGCGCCGCCGAGAUCGCCGCCGUGGUGGAGUUUUCGUUUGGCCGAGCUUCUUCCCCCGUAAUCCCCUUGCCGAGCUCCGUUUUGGUCCCGCGAAGUCGCCUAGUUUCUUCUUAUUUUUCUCGCCUCGGUUCUCUCUCUAACUGCCGUCGUGUGUGCACAGGAGCAUCCUCGUCGCCGUUUCGCGUGGUUAGCCACCGUCGAGCCGUCCUAGCCCUUGCUCUCCGCGUAGUCAGGUUCGCGGUGAGCUCCUCUUGCCUCCCGUGCUCUUGGAUUGAAGUUUCGUCCACCGUAGUGUGUUUUCCUCUACUCCAGCGAACUCCCGGCCAUGGCGCCGCCGUGAACCUUCUCGGAAACCGCCUCCUCGACCGCGUUUAUAGUUUGGAACGGACUCGCAUCGCUCUCCUCUUUCUCCCAGUUCAAACGGAAUCGAAAACCGUACACCAUAGCCUCCUUUUGCCCAACGCCGGCGAGCUCCGUGUCGCCGUUAAUGGCUGCCUGCCGUGGCCUCUUCCGUUCCGGCAGCAUGCACCACCCCGUCCCUCUCUCUUAUUUUUUUUCUUUUUUUCUUUCUUUUCUUUUAAUCAUACGCGUUCAUAUGUGAUCCAACGGCCUACAAUGCCCCGUACCCCUUCGGAGGCAACUUUGUUAAAGAGCCCCUCAAAAAUCUUGAUUUUGCGCGCGCAGUCCUUGGUCAGAAAGAUAUUCCAAGAUUUAAUUAUUUAUUUAAAUUCGUUUAAACUCUGCUUUAUUUACAGAAUUGCCACCGCAUUGUUUUAGCUAUAAAAUCGUCGUUUGAACUCUGAAUCGAUCCGUUCAAGUUGCGUUAGUUUCGUAAUUUCGUAAGCUUCGCUUUGGUACCACUGUUGUUUAGGUUUACCACUGUUAGAUUUCCUAGUUAAUUACAAGUCCGUAGAUUGCUGUUGAAAUCCCGUUAUAAGCGUAACUUUCAUGUCGUAAGUCCGUUUUUCGUGAAUUUCGCGUUGACGUGAUCGUAGCAGCACGUAGAUGAUUUUGGAAAGCUUUUAUUUAAUUUAUUUACUGCUGUGGUGUACUGCUCUAACUUUAGGAAUUGUUCUCUUGCAUGUUUGUCUUGGUAUGCGUGAUGAUUGUGAUGUGUUGAUCGAGCCCAGACGGUGAGGAGUAUUUCGGGAGUCCGAAGCUCUUUGGGACCAGCAGGACCAGCAAGACCAGCAGGAGUACGUGAACCAAGGCAAGUAUAGCAUGGGCCUACCUCAUUGUCCUACUCAUUUUUAAGCAUUUCACCCUGCAUGUGUAUAAUAUUGCAAACUAUAAGGACAUCCUAGCUGUUGAUGACAAUUACCUUGUUACCGAGGGUUUUUAUUGCAUACGGGUAGAAGUGCUAGUUCUCUAACUCCAAUUAUAUAUGAUCUGAAAUCAGUGAUGGAACCAUGGUUAAUUGAUUAAACAUGAUUAUGAUGAAUGGAACAUAUGGCUAUGGUACAAAUGACCGUUGGUCAUGUUGUCCUAGACCCUCCGUAAGAACUUAUCUGUCGGCAAAAGCUGGGACUUACAGUGCAACCGGGAGAGUCACAUGGCUCUGACUUUAGCUCAGUAAUAGGAUCUUUUCUAACUCGUUAGAGGUUACCCCAAAGGGCGCAAGAGGGGCUUGCCACUUUAGGUGUAGUGCUGCCCCUGUUUCUAUGAGUAUAGCUGC
rnacentral:lncRNA from 1 species